CCUACGGGAGGCAGCAGUGGGGAAUAUUGCGCAAUGGGCGAAAGCCUGACCCAGCGACGCCGCGUGAGGGAUGAAGGUCUUCGGAUCGUAAACCUCUGUCAGCAGGGAAGAACGGUCACUGUGCUAAUCAGCAGUGAAUUGACGGUACCUGCAAAGGAAGCACCGGCUAACUCCGUGCCAGCAGCCGCGGUAAUACGGAGGGGGCGGGCGUUAAUCGGAAUUACUGGGCGUAAAGCGCUUGUAGGCGGUAUGACAAGUCAAGGGUGAAAUCCCCGCGCUCAACGUGGGAACUGCCUUUGAAACUGUCAACGUGGAGUGUGGGAGAGGAUAGUGGAAUUCCAGGUGUAGGAGUGAAAUCCGUAGAGAUCAGGAAGAACAUCAGUGGCGAAGGCGACUAUCUGGCACAUAACUGACGCUGAGGAGCGAAAGCGUGGGUAGCAAACAGGAUUAGAUACCCGAGUAGUC
rnacentral:rRNA from 1 species